ACAUAUAGGUUGUAGGGAACUGAAAGGGAACCGACCCUUCGGGAGCUAUACAGGUGUUGCAUGGCUGUCGUCAGCUCGUGUCGUGAGAUGUUCGGUUAAGUCCGCUAACGAGCGCAACCCUCGUCGUAUGUUAUAUGUGUCAUACGAGACUGCCGGUAAAAGCCGGAGGAAGGUGAGGAUGAUGUCAAGUCAGCAUGACCUUUAUAUCCAGGGCUACACACGCGCUACAAUGGUCUGUACAAUGGGUAGCCAAGCCGCGAGGCGGAGCCAAUCCUGAAAGCAGGCCUCAGUUCAGAUUGCAGUCUGCAACUCGACUGCAUGAAGCCGGAGUUGCUAGUAACCGCAGGUCAGCAAUACUGCGGUGAAUACGUUCCCGGGUCUU
rnacentral:rRNA from 1 species